UUUUAUGGAGAGUUUGAUCCUGGCUCAGGAUGAACGCUGGCGGCGUGCCUAAUACAUGCAAGUCGAGCGAACGGACGAGAAGCUUGCUUCUCUGAUGUUAGCGGCGGACGGGUGAGUAACACGUGGAUAACCUACCUAUAAGACUGGGAUAACUUCGGGAAACCGGAGCUAAUACCGGAUAAUAUUUUGAACCGCAUGGUUCAAAAGUGAAAGACGGUCUUGCUGUCACUUAUAGAUGGAUCCGCGCUGCAUUAGCUAGUUGGUAAGGUAACGGCUUACCAAGGCAACGAUGCAUAGCCGACCUGAGAGGGUGAUCGGCCACACUGGAACUGAGACACGGUCC
rnacentral:rRNA from 1 species